rnacentral:rRNA from 1 species
CGGUUUCUUCUUCGACACCGAUGGUUUCUAAAAUAUAUUAAUAUAUAGUAGAAAUCUUAGGUGUUGAAGAAGAAAUAGUGGCGAACGGGUGAGUAACGCGUAGAUAACCUACCUCGUAGAUGGGGACAACACUGCGAAAGUGGUGCUAAUACCAAAUAUGAUGCCUUGAUUGCAUAAUUAAGGUAAGAAAGGCGGCCUCUGAAUAUGCUGCCGCUAUGAGAUGGGUCUGCGUCUGAUUAGCUAGUUGGUGGGGUAACGGCUCACCAAGGCGACGAUCAGUAGCCGGUCUGAGAGGAUGAACGGCCACACUGGGACUGAGACACGGCCCAGACUCCUACGGGAGGCAGCAGUGGGGAAUCUUCCGCAAUGGACGAAAGUCUGACGGAGCAACGCCGCGUGAGUGAAGAAGGUUUUCGGAUCGUAAAGCUCUGUCUUUUGGGACGAACGUGAAGCUGUUUAAGAGAUGGUUUUAAUGACGGUACCGAAGAAGGAAGCCACGGCUAACUACGUGCCAGCAGCCGCGGUAAUACGUAGGUGGCAAGCGUUGUCCGGAAUUAUUGGGCGUAAAGGGCGUGUAGGUGGGAUUUUAAGUCUUAAGUAUAAGUUCGGUGCUCAACGCCGUGUUGCUU